rnacentral:rRNA from 1 species
GAGCCUUGAUGUGUAGGAUAGGUGGGAGGCUUUGAAGUGUGGACGCCAGUCUGCAUGGAGCCGACCUUGAAAUACCACCCUUUAAUGUUUGAUGUUCUAACGUGGACCCGUAAUCCGGGUUGCGGACAGUGUCUGGUGGGUAGUUUGACUGGGGCGGUCUCCUCCUAAAGAGUAACGGAGGAGCACGAAGGUUGGCUAAUCCUGGUCGGACAUCAGGAGGUUA